GAAUUCAACUCCUACGGGAGGCAGCAGUCGAGAAUAAUUCACAAUGGGGGCAACCCUGAUGGUGCAACGCCGCGUGGAGGAUGACAGUCUUCGGAUUGUAAACUCCUGUCAUCCGGGAGUAAGACCUGGCUGUGAAUAGCAGACAGGGUUGAUAGUACCAGAAGAGGAAGGGACGGCUAACUUCGUGCCAGCAGCCGCGGUAAUACGAAGGUCCCGAGCGUUGUUCGGAAUCACUGGGCGUAAAGGGAGCGUAGGCGGCGUGGUAAGUCAGAUGUGAAAUCCCGGGGCUCAACCCCGGAACUGCAUCCGAUACUGCAGUGCUAGAGGAUUGGAGAGGUAGCUGGAAUUCUUGGUGUAGCAGUGAAUGCGUGGAUAUCAAGAGGAACACUCGUGGCGAAAGCGAGCUACUGGACAACUCCUGACGCUGAGGCUCAAAGGCCAGGGUAGCGAAAGGGAUUAGAAACCCUAGUAGUCCAGGCGUU
rnacentral:rRNA from 1 species